UUCUGGUGAGGAUCCUUUGAGCCUGGGGGCCAAUCCAACCCACCUGGGGCUGGAAUCUCAGAGAGGGUCACGAGUUGUGAGGAGUCAGAUUUGGGAGUUAGGAAAAGCAGGUUUGUAGUUCUAGUGUCUCCUUUAAACAGUAUAUUAUUAGAAAAAAGCAGGUUUGAAGUUUUAGUAUCUCCUUUAAAUACUAUAUUAAUAGAAAAAGUAGGUUUGUAAUUGUUGUAUCUCCUUUAAAUAGUAUAUUGUUGCUGUCGAGGCAGGACAGGAAUGAAUAGACUUGACUCAGAAGGCUGUGAGAGUAAGACUCCGAUUUAUUCAAAACACCCCACUCUUUUAUACAGAGCUUCAUGAGGACCAACUCCAUUGGUUCUGAAGCUAAAACAACCACACCACUGGUGCAGAGUGCUUGACGCACAGUGAUAGAACUUAACUAUAAACAAUGUGAAAAACAAGAGAGAUAAAGAAUUAUUUAUGUUCUUCUCCAGAUCUUUCCCAGGCUCCUACCUGGCUAGAAACUCUCAGUUUCUUUCUUUGACUGAAUCUGAGUCACACAGUAUAUUAAUAGAAAAAGCAGGUUUGUAGUUUUAGUAUCUCCUUUAAAUAGUAUAUUAACAGAAAAGGCGGGUUUGAAGUUUUAGUGCCUCCUUUAAACAGUAUAUUAACAGAAAAAGCAGGUUUGCAGUUUUAGUAUCUCCUUUAAAUA